CUCGGCUCUGCUGGAACCGGCGCGCCCCGCGCCCGCCCCCGAGGAGCGGACCCGCAACGGGGGGCGAGAGGGAACGGCGGACGGAGCCGGCGAGGAGCCGGGGGAGCGAGCGCCGAGGGCCGGGGAGGCGCCCCCGGCCCGCUCCGAGCUGGGGCUGCGGCGGCCGCGGCACCCGGGGGUGGCUCCCGCCGAGGGCGGAGGGGACAAACGCAGCCCCCGAGCCCCCGGGAAGGUCACCAAGUCGGCGUCGGCCACCGCGCUGUCCGUCAUCAUCCCCAGCGGGGAGGCGCCCGGCUCGUCCCCCCUGGGCAGCCCCAUGUCGCCGCGGUCGCUGUCGUCGGACCCCUCGUCGCGGGACUCGUCACCGGGCCGGGAGCUGGCCCCGGCCGUGGCCGCCCCACCCCGCUCGCCCAUCGCCAUCCCCCGGCCCGGCAAGAAAUUCGGCUUCACCCUCCGGGCCAUCCGCGUCUACCUGGGCGACAGCGACGUGUACAGCGUGCACCACGUCGUCUGGGUCAGG
rnacentral:lncRNA from 1 species